GACAGAGGGGGCAAGCGUUGCUCGGAAUCACUGGGCGUAAAGGGCGCGUAGGCGGGAUGGCAAGUCAGUCGUGAAAUCUCUCGGCUCAACCGAGAAACGUCGGCUGAUACUGCCGUUCUUGAGGGAUGCAGAGGAGACUGGAAUUCCCGGUGUAGCGGUGAAAUGUGUAGAGAUCGGGAGGAACACCGGUGGCGAAGGCGGGUCUCUGGGGCAUCU
rnacentral:rRNA from 1 species